rnacentral:ncRNA from 2 species
CGCAGGUGCAGAUCUUGGUGGUAG